rnacentral:tRNA from 1 species
GCCUUUGUGGUUUAGUGGUCAGCACGGUCGACCCGUACCCGAGAGGUCCAUGGUUCGAUUCCCGGCGAAGGCG